UUUUUCUUUCCAGGCUCCCUUACUUCUUUCCACGCAGUUUCGCUCCAAGAGCUCUCUCCAACUUGGUAAUCACCUGCUGAUUUGGAAUCGCCUUCCCAGAUUCAUACUCUUGGAUCACUUGAGGCUUCUCAUUGAUGAUCUGCAAAUAACCCCGAGAUUGUCAUCAGUAAUUGUGUACACAUAUGUGUGUGAGAGGGGGGGGAGAGAGAGAGAGGGAGAGAUUGGGAGAGAGAGAUGGAUACUUGAGCAAGUUGAGCCUGGGUAAGCUUCUUAUCAGUUCGAGCUUGCAUGAUAGCCUUCUUCAGCUCACUUGGCACACGUUCAUCUAUUUCAAAAUCAGAUGACAUUAAAGCACGAAACCAAAGUAGACGAGAGUAAAAAACAUCGAGGCAAACAACAAAUAACUUUUCUGGAUUGCUUCAAUAUAUUUCAGCUGGAAAAGAAUCAGACCAAAUGUUCAAAGAAUUAUAUUAAACCAGAUUGAGGAGCCCAAGUUCUGGAUGGAAUUGUGGAGGGAAGAGUAUGCAAGGGCAAGCACACAUGUAUGUUAAUAGAACUAUAAGUACACAUUUAUAAUUAAAAUAGAGAUGUAAAGGUCUACAAACUUUUCUAUUGCCACCAAAACAACUCAUACCAUAUGUCUAAACCACACAUGCUAUGGUGAGGGCAAAAGUAACGGAAACUUCAGAGAAAGCAAACAUACAACGAAGAGAAUCUUGGAAUACCACUAGUGCAUAUGAGAGAAACAAAAAAAUAAAUAAAUAAAUUACCACAGCAACAUAUACAACAAUAAGCAAAAAGGUUCAGUGAAGCAAGGGACUUUAACUUUAUUCGUUUAGUCUCUACGUUAGUCUAUAGCCCGUUAGGUCCAAUGAACCACUGAAAAGCAUCCUGGCACCAUGCCAUGCCAUGAACUCUUCUCCCACCCCCAUUCCUCAAUGCAGUGCUCAUGUCAAGAUAGCAAUAUUAUUGGGAAGAAAGAGGAGAUAAAGAAGGUCCCCAAAAGAAGGUCCCCAGGGCGUUCAACUCCAAAGUUCGAGUUCACAUUGAAAUAAAGAUGAUUCAAGGAGCAGUACAUAAACACAUUAUAUGUAUGAAGAACUGAACCAUGCAACCAACUUGGCAAAAGAAACACUAGGCAAGAUGGCGCAGCCUAGUGCACCCACAAUUGCAGGAUCUUCGGAGUACAAACUUACACAGCCUCAAACCAACUUGUAAAGAGGUUGUUUCCCAUUUCAAACCCGUGACCUCAGUUUGCAACGGAACAAACCAUACAAUUGCACCAAGGUUCAUCUCUCAGAAGCAAACAAGAAGCUAAUAUGUAAGAGGAUCUAUUUACUUCCUUAAGCCAACCCAAACAGUUUCACAACAGUUGCAAACUAAGAAACAAUUAUAAUGAUGUCAAGAAGAGAUUAUUUAGCUCAUUCAAGAAAGAUAUAUCAAUCCUAGAAACGAAAAACAAGAAUUUUGUAUAUACAUAGUACAAGAAAGAGAAAAACUCACGAGCAAGGUUCUCUGUUUCAUCAUCAAGCUUCCUCGUGUUCAAAGUAGUGCUGCUGGAGGCAGCUUUAUUGGUCCCAGCAGUUGCUGCAAAGAUUAACAACGCAACCAUUUAGAGUUGCAACUUCGAAAGUUAUAAUAUGCAGCAUGAAAACCCACACAAUAAACUAACUUUUAUACCCAAUCUUAUGGCACACCAAGCUGGAAAGAAACUAAAAGUCCAACACUAAACAAAUCGACAACGAAAAUGCCAUUACAAAUGGAAGAACAUUAAGAUUAUCGAGCCCGAAAAUGAUUACUAAAACCAAUGCAAAUGGUGCAAAUCAUUCGCACAAACACAUGAGAAAAACCCCAUUAGCUACAAGGUAAUAUAAAUCAAACCAGACAAUCGAGCCAGAACAACGAAUCAGCAGCUUACCCAAAUGGCAAAAAUUUGCUACCUUGUUUUCUAUGCUUUUCCAAUCAAAAACAGCAAAUUACAACUUUAACGAGUGCAAAAAUCCAACCCAAAAAUUACGAGUAAAGCAUUCUACUUUCAAAUUCUAAAAUUUGAUUUUCUCUAAUUUUAACCCCUAUGAGAUUUUUGAAAUCAUUUCGUGGGUUCCAUUUUGUUUUCCGCUUAACCAAUAACAGAACAAAACAAAUUGAAGACCAAAGAAUGAAAGAGACAGAGAAGGGGAAAGUGAGGAAGAAGGAAGGACGAUACAAAACCUUUCUUGAGGGUUUCGAUCUCAGCUCCGGAGCGGCGAGCGGCGUUGACGGCUUUCUCAUCCUUCUUGGCGGCGGCGUUGGGUGCCUUCUUCCGGAUGACGACGGGCUCCCAGUCCUGCGUGAUGGGUCCUCCUGACAUGGCGAUCGGCUAAGGGAGG
rnacentral:lncRNA from 1 species